UAUCCACUGCAUCACCUAGCUGCCCCUAGAACAUAGAAUUUUAAAGACAAAAGGAAUCUACACACAUUCCAACAUGUUGGAAUGUACUGGACUGGACAUAUUGAGACUCCUAUAGAAAAACCAUUAGCUUUUAUACAAUGUAGAAUACAUUUAAAAAAUCCUUUACAUUUAUCACAUUUUUGCACAUAUUUAUAUGUCUUCACAUAGAUUCAUGCCAUUUACCAUUCUUUCCUUCUAUACCCUUAUACCUACCAACUGUGACAAGCAGAGAAACUGAAGACUGGGAAGAACUAGAAGAGGAUGGAGGAGAAAUGCAUGUGAAACUUAGAGAAGACCCAAGGUCAUUUUACAGAUGAGGAAACUGUGGUAAACAGGGGUUGACAGGCUGGCCUGGGAGUGGAAGGAUCAUAGAGGGUGUUUUGGUUCUAAGGAGCUGGAAAGAAGAAGAAAAUUGCCAAGUGUUUGCAGAGGCUAACAGGAGCACAAAGGUGGUCAAAGAAGCAUGGAGACCUUGAGGAAGAGACUGAAGAGUUGAUUCAGGUCAGUGACUAAAGG